rnacentral:rRNA from 1 species
UACGUAAGCAGCGAGCGUUGUUCGGAGUUACUGGGCGUAAAGGGUGUGUAGGCGGUUGUUUAAGUUUGGUGUGAAAUCUCCCGGCUCAACUGGGAGGGUGCGCCGAAUACUGAGCGACUAGAGUGCGGGAGAGGAAAGUGGAAUUCCUGGUGUAGCGGUGAAAUGCGUAGAUAUCAGGAGGAACACCGGUGGUGUAGACGGCUUUCUGGACCGUAACUGACGCUGAGACACGAAAGCGUGGGUAGCAAACAGG